rnacentral:lncRNA from 1 species
UUUAUAAACGCCAGUCUAGUCACGCACGUGAACACCGACGUGAACACCGAUUGACAUAAUCGCCAGUGCCGGUAAGAGUAUCAUUGUGUACAGUUCGGUCCAGUAAUAAUAGUAAAGAUGAAUAGCAGAAGUAAAAAAAUAAUGGCCUUACUAAAUGACAAUAAAACAUAUACCGAAGCAGUAAAAAUGAUAUACAGACUGACAAUAAUUCCCCUAUAUUCCCCUUAGAGGUUUAUGAUAUUUAUAAUGCCAACAUUGCAGAAGCUUUUAGCAAUGACAUUAUCAUCUUUGAGGAACCACCAGACGUUGCAGUAGAAGAAGAAAUAUUUAGUCACGAUCUCACAUCAUGUUUCAACUUAGCAGCAGAUAAUGGUUUGGGUGCCGG